AUUGAACGCUGGCGGCAGGCCUAACACAUGCAAGUCGAGCGGAUGAAGGGAGCUUGCUCCUGGAUUCAGCGGCGGACGGGUGAGUAAUGCCUAGGAAUCUGCCUGGUAGUGGGGGAUAACGUCCGGAAACGGGCGCUAAUACCGCAUACGUCCUGAGGGAGAAAGUGGGGGAUCUUCGGACCUCACGCUAUCAGAUGAGCCUAGGUCGGAUUAGCUAGUUGGUGGGGUAAAGGCCUACCAAGGCGACGAUCCGUAACUGGUCUGAGAGGAUGAUCAGUCACACUUGAGCAGUUACACGCUACGGGCUGCUACCGGAGGCAGCAUUGGGGAAUAUUGGACGAUGGUCGUAAGUUUGAUACAGAUUUGCCGUGGGGGUGAAGAAGGUUUUCGUAUUUUAUAGCUCUUUCAGUUUGACCGAAGGGCAGUGCGUUGAUUCCUUGCUGUUUUGACGUUACCAACAGAGUAAGAACCGGCUAACUUCGUG
rnacentral:rRNA from 1 species